AUAUAUACGUCACGUUGAAAUAAGGUGAAACUGGUUCCGGAGAUACAUCUUUUUAAUGUAAUAAAUUAAAAAUGAGAAGAGAGAGAAUCGAGGCUCCUCCAAUUUCUUUAUUUCUGACUUCGAUUGAACUCCGGACUGGAAAGAAGAAAAUUUAAUAGUAUAUAUUAGUCUAACAUACCCUAACCCAAACCAAUAACAUUUAAAUAAAUUAAAUAAGUAAAUUAAAUUGAGUAAUAUUAAUUAAAUCAAAUCUAGCCCAAACCGAUACCAAUUCAAAAUAUGCAUGAACUUUAUAUACGCGUAACCUUUGAAAUAAUGAUCGUCGCGUCGUGAAAUCAGUGUUUCAAAAGCCUCUUUUAUUCAAAAGUCAUAUUUUAUAUAAAAAAAAAGAAAAAAAAUGGAGGGGAAACAAAUCCAGAAAUAAGAAACCUUCAAGCGUUUUUCGACUUUGAUCUUUCAAAUACAACUUGGUUUUCUGGCCAAGAUUUAUUUACGUUCUUCGAAAAGUCUUCAUUAAAGGUUCCUUUGUAAGAUUAUGUUUUAGAAGAUCAACGGGUAGAAUUGAAAUCUUGCAAGUUCCGCGUAGGGUCCGUGUUACUUUCGUCAAGAGAUGAAGAAACUUAAUAUCCGUUAAGUGUUUACAAGGUGUUCGAGUCAGGCUGUUUGUUCGCAGAGAGGUCGGUGGUGUAGUAUCAUGGCGUCGGUAACCGGGUCCCCUUUAAAUUUCGCUUCCACAUGGAAAGAAGUCACGUCCACUGUGUAUGCGCAUAGUUACUCUUUGAAACCUCCUCGCAGGUAUUUUAUCUUCAGAAAAGCUCAGAGUUCGUUACCAAGUUUUAGGUUAGAUGAUGUCGGCUAUGUUUGUUAGAAUUAGAUCGUCUUUACCGAACUUUAAAUGUUUAGACGGUUGUAUCAGUGUAAAAUAGAAGAUUGUAUUAUAUACAGUAACUUACGGUAAGAUUGAAAGCUGUGGUAACAUUAUUAUCCUAAUCUUAGGUACCCAAAUAAUCACUCAAGUACUUAGGGUAUCUUAAGUAUUAGGUAUGUAUAUAUGGUUUAGGUUAAGAUAUUCAGGAACGUUGAAUAUUUUAGCCGUUUCAAAUACUUUGAUAUCUACUUGAAAUAUAAUAUUUCAGAUGGUUUCGGAUCUUCAAUAUUUAAGAAUCCAUAUACUUAUUACACUUGCUCUAGUAUUCACAUACAUACUCAAAAAUUGUUAGUAUAUGAUAUAUAUUCGAGUACUCUUACCAUUUUAGAUUCCAUGCCAUAAUCUCAGCUACUAAAUAUCUGUAUUAUACUCUAUGCUCUUAAUUUUUCAAGUAAAUACAUUCUUCCACCAACAUAACCUCCAAACCCUUAUCGUUCAGGUGACCUGUAAACUUCCUCCGCGAGUUUUUAUCCUCGACAUCUCUACGAACCAACAAAAAAAAGACAAUCAAUCCUCAACUGACAGUAGUAAACAAAGCAGGAAAGAAACUGAAGAUAACGCGACACAUUGGCGAGGUCGAUCGAGCGUAUAGCAUAUCAAGAAAAGACGGUCCUCGGUGCGGAUUGAGCGGUGGUAUCGCGAACCCUGGCUUGCGGAAUGAAAAGCCUCUUUUGUCUCUAUGCGGCUCUUUCUCUCAUCUUUCGGGCUUCCUCUCCCGCGGCCAGGACUGGGAAUACAAUUGAAAUAUCAUCCAGUGGCGCGCACCGCUUCAUUGUCAACUAAGAUCAUUUGGUCUUAGAAAUUUAUUCGGUCCAGGAUCGUGCUUCCGAAAGGUCACAGGCGCGGGCGUGAGAGAGGGAAGCAAGGGCUUUUCUUCGAGUUCCUUUUCAGAGCGGAACAAGUCGCCGAAAGAAGGGCAACGCUGAAAUUCCAACUUCGAGGAUCACAUUGAAUUACAGGUCGAGCUACGAAGCGCGCGCUAUGGCUUUUAGUUGCUGCAAGUUUCUACUCGCACGUUUUCCAUCCUCGUCUCCAACUCGGUAAUUUUACUCUACCGAGUUCUUGCUUGUUCUAGGGGUGCAGGAAGUUGUAUCAGAGAUUCGACGUUAGAAAAAAUAGUACGAAGGUUGUAGUUUUAUAGUAGCGUCUAUUUUUGUUUAAUAAUGAGAAGA